GUAGGGAAUAUUGGGCAAUGGUCGGAAGACUGACCCAGCCAUGCCGCGUGCAGGAAGACGGCCCUCUGGGUUGUAAACUGCUUUUAUCUGGGAAGAAAAAGGCCAUGCGUGGCAAAUUGCCGGUACCAGAUGAAUAAGCACCGGCUAACUCCGUGCCAGCAGCCGCGGUAAUACGGAGGGUGCGAGCGUUGUCCGGAUUUAUUGGGUUUAAAGGGUGCGUAGGCGGCUGAUUAAGUCAGCGGUGAAAGACUUCGGCUUAACCGGGGCAGUGGCGUUGAUACUGGUUGGCUUGAGUGUCGGAGGGGUACAUGGAAUUGAUGGUGUAGCGGUGAAAUGCAUAGAUACCAUCAGGAACACCGAUAGCGAAGGCAUUGUACUGGCCGACAACUGACGCUGAUGCACGAAAGUGUGGGGAUCGAACAGGAUUAGAAACCCGUGUAGUCC
rnacentral:rRNA from 1 species